rnacentral:rRNA from 1 species
UCCUGUCCAACGUUAAUCGGGGCAGGGUGAGUCGACCCCUAAGGCGAGGCCGAAAGGCGUAGUCGAUGGGAAACAGGUUAAUAUUCCUGUACUUGGUGUUACUGCGAAGGGGGGACGGAGAAGGCUAUGUUGGCCGGGCGACGGUUGUCCCGGUUUAAGCGUGUAGGCUGGUUUUCCAGGCAAAUCCGGAAAAUCAAGGCUGAGGCGUGAUGACGAGGCACUACGGUGCUGAAGCAACAAAUGCCCUGCUUCCAGGAAAAGCCUCUAAGCAUCAGGUAACAUCAAAUCGUACCCCAAACCGACACAGGUGGUCAGGUAGAGAAUACCAAGGCGCUUGAGAGAACUCGGGUGAAGGAACUAGGCAAAAUGGUGCCGUAACUUCGGGAGAAGGCACGCUGAUAUGUAGGUGAAGUCCCUCGCGGAUGGAGCUGAAAUCAGUCGAAGAUACCAGCUGGCUGCAACUGUUUAUUAAAAACACAGCACUGUGCAAACACGAAAGUGGACGUAUACGGUGUGACGCCUGCCCGGUGCCGGAAGGUUAAUUGAUGGGGUUAGCGCAAGCGAAGCUCUUGAUCGAAGCCCCGGUAAACGGCGGCCGUAACUAUAACGGUCCUAAGGUAGCGAAAUUCCUUGUCGGGUAAGUUCCGACCUGCACGAAUGGCGUAAUGAUGGCCAGGCUGUCUCCACCCGAGACUCAGUGAAAUUGAACUCGCUGUGAAGAUGCAGUGUACCCGCGGCAAGACGGAAAGACCCCGUGAACCUUUACUAUAGCUUGACACUGAACAUUGAGCCUUGAUGUGUAGGAUAGGUGGGAGGCUUAGAAGUGUGGACGCCAGUCUGCAUGGAGCCGACCUUGAAAUACCACCCUUUAAUGUUUGAUGUUCUAACGUUGACCCGUAAUCCGGGUUGCGGACAGUGUCUGGUGGGUAGUUUGACUGGGGCGGUCUCCUCCUAAAGAGUAACGGAGGAGCACGAAGGUUGGCUAAUCCUGGUCGGACAUCAGGAGGUUAGUGCAAUGGCAUAAGCCAGCUUGACUGCGAGCGUGACGGCGCGAGCAGGUGCGAAAGCAGGUCAUAGUGAUCCGGUGGUUCUGAAUGGAAGGGCCAUCGCUCAACGGAUAAAAGGUACUCCGGGGAUAACAGGCUGAUACCGCCCAAGAGUUCAUAUCGACGGCGGUGUUUGGCACCUCGAUGUCGGCUCAUCACAUCCUGGGGCUGAAGUAGGUCCCAAGGGUAUGGCUGUUCGCCAUUUAAAGUGGUACGCGAGCUGGGUUUAGAACGUCGUGAGACAGUUCGGUCCCUAUCUGCCGUGGGCGCUGGAGAACUGAGGGGGGCUGCUCCUAGUACGAGAGGACCGGAGUGGACGCAUCACUGGUGUUCGGGUUGUCAUGCCAAUGGCA